rnacentral:tRNA from 1 species
AGAACGUAGUUUAAUUUAAUAGAGCACCGGCUUUGGGUGCCGGAGGUGGGAGUGUAAGUCUUACCGUUCUGA